GGUGAACGCUGGCGGUAGGCCUAACACAUGCAAGUCGAACGGCAGCACAGUAAGAGCUUGCUCUUACGGGUGGCGAGUGGCGGACGGGUGAGGAAUACAUCGGAAUCUACUUUUUCGUGGGGGAUAACGUAGGGAAACUUACGCUAAUACCGCAUACGACCUACGGGUGAAAGCAGGGGAUCUUCGGACCUUGCGCGAUUGAAUGAGCCGAUGUCGGAUUAGCUAGUUGGCGGGGUAAAGGCCCACCAAGGCGACGAUCCGUAGCUGGUCUGAGAGGAUGAUCAGCCACACUGGAACUGAGACACGGUCCAGACUCCUACGGGAGGCAGCAGUGGGGAAUAUUGGACAAUGGGCGCAAGCCUGAUCCAGCCAUACCGCGUGGGUGAAGAAGGCCUUCGGGUUGUAAAGCCCUUUUGUUGGGAAAGAAAAGCAGCAGGUUAAUACCCCGCUGUUCUGACGGUACCCAAAGAAUAAGCACCGGCGAACUUCGU
rnacentral:rRNA from 1 species